CGCAGCGGCGGGGUCCCAGGGUGGCCUCGUCCGCGUCUCCGUUGGAUGCGUGGCAUCUGCGGGAGGGGCUGGGGGGCCUCGAACACCCGUCUGGGGCCGGCAUGCCCGGCUUUGCUGAGGAUGAAGCCACGCCUCCCUGCGUGAGGCUGUCGCUCUACGCACGUAAACCUGGAAGGCCACGCCCUUCCCGGAAGCUCUGGAUCUCGCUGGGACGAGGGUCCUCCGAGUGAACCCGGUGAUGCGGUCGCGGCGAUCACGGCGCCAGCCCUCACUCCCUCCUGGUGCCAAAGGCCCCGAGGCCUUCCCAUCACACGAGGGAACGUGCGUCUGCGUGGACGUCAUCUGGGUUAGGCAGUUUUACACGGGGCCCUCUUGUGUUGUGUGUGAUAAUUUUACAGUCAACAGUAAGUAAUCGGAAAGGGCGACCUCGGGCCUGCGUCCCUUUGUUGCAUCGCGGGGAUGUCCUGGGGCUGCCGGAGCAAAGUGCCCAGACCAGGAGGCUUCAACAACGAGCAUUAUGGCCUCGCAGAUCCGGAGGCUGGAAAUGUGUGAUCAAGGCGUCCGCCGGACCAGGUUCCCUCCGAAAGCACAACACGCAUCUGUUCCAGGCCUGGCGUCUCCUAGCUUCUGAGCCAGCCUCUCUCAACUACACCUGAGUGCGUGCUACUGAGGUGACUGUUCGAGGGCUCCUGAACAGCUUUGUGCGAACCCCGGUUUCGCGGCCAAGUGGGACAGAAGCGUGGGCGCCCGGGGCCCCUGAGACUUGAGACUGGCUUCUGAUGUGCAGGCGGGCGUCUUGUGGGACUGAGCCCUUAACCCGUGGAGUCUGGUGCUAACUGUGGGUGGCCAGCGUCAGAAAAGGGUUAAGUUGAGGGCCCCCGGUUGCUCUUUGGAAAACUGACGUUGGAGGAGACGCCGUGUACUUGCUGUCGGAGGAGAGGAGAGCGGUUCUCUUCGUCCUGGAGAGGUUAAGACGAGCCCCUCAGCCAGUCGUGGGGCCUCCUCGGGAUGACCCCCGGCCGGGGGUGGGGGGUCCGCUUGGUGCAAAGUGGUGAACUACACAGAAAGGUACUUCCUGCCAGCGCCUUUCUGCUGCCCCCACGUCUUGACGUAAAGAUUGGAAAUUGAAGACAAGCUUUGUCUGUUAUAAGGGUCGCGCUCCAGCUCUGUGAGCUUCGGAAGUUUGUAGUGUGGUGCAAACUGGACCCUUGGUUUCAUUGUGUCUGGGUCUGCAUUUGGAGGAACAAGAAAGCCGAUUUCAACCGUC